rnacentral:rRNA from 1 species
CACGUAGGGAGCAAGCGUUGUCCGGAUUUAUUGGGCGUAAAGAGCUCUUAGGCGGCUCAGUAAGUCAGGUGUGAAACCUCCAGGCUCAACCUGGAGACGCCACCUGAUACUGCUGUGGCUUGAGUCCGGUAGGGGAGCGUGGAAUUCCUGGUGUAGCGGUGAAAUGCGCAGAUAUCAGGAGGAACACCAGCGGCGAAGGCGGCGCUCUGGGCCGGAACUGACGCUGAGGAGCGAAAGCUAGGGGAGCAAACGGG